rnacentral:tRNA from 1 species
AUUCUAAGUUAAACUACUC